GACGAACGCUGGCGGCGCGCCUAACACAUGCAAGUCGAACGGUGAAGAGGAGCUUGCUCCUCUGAACAGUGGCGGACGGGUGAGUAACACGUGAGCAACCUGGCUCUAAGAGGGGGACAACAGUUGGAAACGACUGCUAAUACCGCAUGACGUAUCGGGAUGGCAUCUUCCUGAUACCAAAGAUUUUAUCGCUUAGAGAUGGGCUCGCGUCUGAUUAGAUAGUUGGCGGGGUAACGGCCCACCAAGUCGACGAUCAGUAGCCGGACUGAGAGGUUGAACGGCCACAUUGGGACUGAGACACGGCCCAGACUCCUACGGGAGGCAGCAGUGGGGGAUAUUGGACAAUGGGGGCAACCCUGAUCCAGCGACGCCGCGUGAGGGAAGAAGGUUUUCGGAUUGUAAACCUCUGUUGACGGAGAAAAAAAUGAUGGUAUCCGUUUAGAAAGCCACGGCUAACUACGUG
rnacentral:rRNA from 1 species